ACGUUGAAAUACCGAUUCCCGUAGGAUCAGCGAAGUUAAGCAACGUCAAGCCCGGUCAGUACUUUGAUGAGUGACCGCUUGGGAAUGCCAAAUGCUGUAA